rnacentral:rRNA from 1 species
AAUGAACGCUGGCGGCGCGCCUAAUACAUGCAAGUCGAGCGAGAAGACGUAGCAAUACGUUUGUAAAGCGGCGAACGGGUGAGGAAUACAUGGGUAACCUACCCUAGAGUGGGGAAUAACUAGCCGAAAGGUUAGCUAAUACCGCGUACGCUCCUUGGACUUCGGUUCAGGGAGGAAAGCGAUGCCGAGGGUAUCGCGCUCUUGGAUGGGCUCAUGUCCUAUCAGCUGUUGGUGAGGUAACGGCUCACCAAGGCUUCGACGGGUA